UUAACGGCCGCGGUAUUCUAACCGUGCAAAGGUAGCACAAUCACUUGUUCUUUAAUUAAGGACCGGUAUGAAUGGCACCACGAAUAUCUAACUGUCUCUUUUCUUCAAUCAUUGAAACUAAUCUCCCCGUGAAAAAGCGGGGAUAUAUCUAUAAGACGAGAAGACCCUAUGGAGCUUUAAACCAAAUAGCAAUUAUUUUAAUUCUGCUACGAGGUUUUUGGUCGGGGCAGCCGCGGAGAACAACUUAUCCUCCAAAUUGUACCUAGAAUCUUCUUUAACCAUAAGCCACAUCUUUACGUAUCAAUAAAUUGACAUUAAUUGACCCAGUUUCUGAUCAACGAAACAAGUUACCCUAGGGAUAACAGCGCAAUCUUCUUCGAGAGUUCAUAUCGACAAGCGGGUUUACGACCUCGAUGUUGGAUCAGGGUAACCUGGUGGUGCAGACGCUACCUACGGUUCGUUCGUUCAACGAUUAAUACCC
rnacentral:rRNA from 1 species